AUUGAACGCUGGCGGCAGGCCUAACACAUGCAAGUCGAGCGGAUGAAGGGAGCUUGCUCCUGGAUUCAGCGGCGGACGGGUGAGUAAUGCCUAGGAAUCUGCCUGGUAGUGGGGGAUAACGUCCGGAAACGGGCGCUAAUACCGCAUACGUCCUGAGGGAGAAAGUGGGGGAUCUUCGGACCUCACGCUAUCAGAUGAGCCUAGGUCGGAUUAGCUAGUUGGUGGGGUAAAGGCCUACCAAGGCGACGAUCCGUAACUGGUCUGAGAGGAUGAUCAGUCACACUGGAACUGAGGCACGGUCCAGACUCUUACGGGAAGCAACAGUGGGGAAUAUUGGACGAUGAGCGAAAGCCUGAUCCAGCGAUGCCGCGUGUGUGAAGAAGGUCUUCGGAUUGUAAAGCACUUUAAGUUGGGAGGAAGGGCAGUAAGUUAAUACCUUGCUGUUUUGACGUUACCAACAGAAUAAGCACCGGCUAACUUCGUG
rnacentral:rRNA from 1 species